rnacentral:rRNA from 1 species
GCUAUCUCUUACCCAUGUCUUUUGAGUACCUUCGUUUCCUCGGCGGGUCCGCCCGCCGAUUGGACAAUUUAAACCAUUUGCAGUUGCAAUCAGCGUCUGAAAAAACUUAAUAGUUACAACUUUCAACAACGGAUCUCUUGGUUCUGGCAUCGAUGAAGAACGCAGCGAAAUGCGAUAAGUAGUGUGAAUUGCAGAAUUCAGUGAAUCAUCGAAUCUUUGAACGCACAUUGCGCCCCUUGGUAUUCCAUGGGGCAUGCCUGUUCGAGCGUCAUUUGUACCUUCAAGCUCUGCUUGGUGUUGGGUGUUUGUCUCGCCUCUGCGCGCAGACUCGCCUCAAAACAAUUGGCAGCCGGCGUAUUGAUUUCGGAGCGCAGUACAUCUCGCGCUUUGCACUCAUAACGACGACGUCCAAAAGUACAUUUUUACACUCUUGACCUCGGAUCAGGUAGGGAUACCCGCUGAACUUAAGCAUAUCAA